rnacentral:rRNA from 1 species
AACGAACGCUGGCAGCAUGCCUAACACAUGCAAGUCGAACGAGACCUUCGGGUCUAGUUGCGCACGUGUGCGUAACGCGUGGUAACCUGCCCUUAGGUUCGGAAUAACUCCCCGUAAGGGGUGCUAAUACCGGAUAAUGUCUUCGGACCAAAGAUUUAUCGCCUUUGGAUGGGCCCUCGUUGGUUUGGCUAGUUGGUAGGGUAAAAGCCUAGCAAGGCGACGAUCCAGAGCUGGUCUGAGAGGAUGCUCAGCCACGCUGGGACUGAGACACGGCCCAGACUCCGACGGGAGGCAGCAGUAGGGAAUACUAGACACGGAGGGAUAGUCUGACAAAGCCAUGCCGCGUGAGUGAUGAAGGCCUUAGGGUUGUAAAGCUCUUUUACACGGGAUGAUAAUGACAGUAACGGGAGAAUAAGCUCCGGCUAACUACGUG